GCUGAAGCUGUAAUCAGAUUGGGGCUCAGAAGAAUCCCACAGUUCCAGAAGUCAUUUUAAGAACACUUAGAAAACCCUUGGAAUUCCUCUUCAGGGAGUUUUUGCCACAACAGAGAUAAUGGCUAUGCAUUUCAGCUACCAAGAAAGUUUUGGAAAAAAUACAACACUCCCCAGAUCCCCUUUGAAGCAUUGUUCAGUCAAGCAUGAUAAUGGGUUGCAGGCCAAUUCAUAUCUAUCUGCCCCUUCAUAUUGGAUAUUCUAAAAUUUCUCAGGUAUUAGC
rnacentral:lncRNA from 1 species